GCUGAUGGGACUCAGAGUGUUUCUGCCAUCUUGAAUUUCGUCCCGUCAGUCCACCAUCAUGAGCUGAAAGUGAACUGUGUUUCAGUUCUUCCUCUACACAGAGAGAACAGACCCCUGCUCAGCCACAAGGUGGUCAUCCUCAAUGUGGAGUAUCCUCCUAAGGAAACAUGGAUCUCUCUCACACAGGCUUGGUCUGGCUUGGUGAUAAUGUGACCCUCACCUGUCAAAGUAAAGCCAACCCUCCUGCGGUCCACAGGUGGUUCAUGAAGAGAGCAGGUGUAGAGGAAGAACUGAGCAUCUCACGUGUGCUUUCCUUCACUGCGGCCCAUGAGAACACUGGGGAAUACAUUUGUGAGGCACAGAAUCUAUACGGUGCAAUGAACUCCACAAACCUACAGAUCACUGUCCUAGGCAUAUCCUUCACUGCUUUUUUGUCAAUUUUGGCAGCUUUAUCACUUAUAUUUGCACUUGCAAUUGCUAUUGUUAUGAUUUACAGAAGGUAGGAUCUUGCUAGAUUUUUAUUUUUUUGUUAAAUUAUAUAUUUUAUACAUUAUUUGAUAUAAUGUUUUCUUGUUUUGGUUUUCUUGUUUUGUUAUAUGCAGGUAUAAAGAGCCAAUCAGAAGUGAAACAAACCAAGAUCAGAACAUUUAUGCCAAUAUGUCUGCAAGUGCGGUGAAAAGUGAGCAGCUCCAAUCAAAGCCAUGUGAAGAUAAGAACACCUGCACCAUUAAUCCUGUAUACGC